AUACGUAGGUGGCGAGCGUUAUCCGGAUUUACUGGGUGUAAAGGGCGCGUAGGCGGGGGUGCAAGUCAGAUGUGAAAUCUAUGGGCUCAACUCAUAAACUGCAUUUGAAACUGUACUUCUUGAGUACUGGAGAGGUAGACGGAAUUCCUUGUGUAGCGGUGAAAUGCGUAGAUAUAAGGAAGAACACCAGUGGCGAAGGCGGUCUACUGGACAGCAACUGACGCGGAGGCGCGAAAGCGUGGGGAGCAAACAGGAUUAGAUACCCUGGUAGUCCACGCUGUAAACGAUGAAUACUAGGUGUGGGGGGACUGACCCCUUCCGUGCCGCAGUUAACACAAUAAGUAUUCCACCUGGGGAGUACGGCCGCAAGGUCGAAACUCAAAUGAAUUGACGGGG
rnacentral:rRNA from 1 species